AGACGGCCUGGGUAGGAGAUACUCAUGAUCACGAAGGUGGCUUUCCAGGCGAGGCUUAUGCAUUGCACUUCCGGAUGUGUUGACUUCGCGAUUUCCCCAUCGGGAAACUCUCGACUGCAUAAUUUGUGGUAGCGGGGACUGCGUUCAGCUUCCCUGA